rnacentral:piRNA from 1 species
UAGGAGAAGCAUUCUCAAGGUGGUCCUCGU